ACUGUAUUCUGAACAUAGGCAGCGGGUCAUUGGUACCCCUAUCUUUAAUAUGGAUGCAAGACUUGUUGGAUUCGUUCAUUUUUGUAGGAAUACAUUUGAUGUCAAGCUUGCUGCGAGAUCAGAAGUAUUGUCUUCCAAUCUGAAUAAAUGGCUAAAGGGUAAAGAGUUGAAAGACCACAUCGCACCUUACAUUAAGAAAAGGUGGCCCAGUUCGAAGAGUUAAAACAACAUUUGUCUCAUCAAAGUGCAUGACUUGUUACUCUGCAAGCGAAGUGCUAGAUGAUUGAGAUGUUUGGUUGUAGGCGCAACAUGAACUGCAAG